rnacentral:rRNA from 1 species
AUUGAACGCUAGCGGGAUGCUUUACACAUGCAAGUCGAACGAGUGGCGGACGGGUGAGUAAUAUAUCGGAAGUGCCCAGUAGCGGGGGAUAACUACUCGAAAGAGUGGUUAAUACCGCAUACUAUCGGAUAACCCAUAUGGGAUUAGCUAGUUGGUGGGGUAAAGGCUCACCUAGGCGACGAUCCCUAGCUGGUCUGAGAGGAUGAUCAGCCAGACUGGGACUGAGACGCGGCCCAGACUCCAACGGAGGCAGCAGUGGAGAAUAUUGCACAAUGGGCGCAAGCCGGAUGCAGCCAUGCCGCGUGUAUGAAGAGGGCCCUAGGGUUGUAAAGUACUUUCAGUCGGGAGGCGUUACCGACAGGAGAAGCACCGGCUAACUCCGUGCCAGCAGCCGCGGUAAUAC